CCUUGGGUCCGGCAUAACCCCGGGAAACUGGGGAUAUUCCGGAUAACGCACAUAUGCUGGAAUGCUUUUUGCGUAAAAUGGAUUCGUCUGCCCAAGGAUGGGUCUGCGGCCUAUCAGGUAGUAGUGGGUGUAAUGUACCUACUAGCUACGACGGGUACGGGUUGUGAGAGCAAGAGCCCGGAGAUGGAUUCUGAGACAUGAAUCCAGGCCCUACGGGGCGCAGCAGGCGCGAAAACUUUACAAUGCGGGAAACCGUGAUAAGGGGACACCGAGUGCCAGCAUCCUAUGCUGGCUGUCCGGGUGUGUAAAAUACACCUGUUAGCAAGGGCCGGGCAAGACCGGUGCCAGCCGCCGCGGUAACACCGGCGGCCCGAGUGGUGAUCGUGAUUAUUGGGUCUAAAGGGUCCGUAGCCGGUUUGGUCAGUCCUCCGGGAAAUCUGACAGCUCAACUGUUAGGCUAUCGGAGGAUACUGCCAGACUUGGAACCGGGAGAGGUAAGAGGUACUACAGGGGUAGGAGUGAAAUCUUGUAAUCCCUGUGGGACCACCUGUGGCGAAGGCGUCUUACCAGAACGGGUUCGACGGUGAGGGACGAAAGCUGGGGGCACGAACCGGAUUAGAUACCCGGGUAGUCCCAGCCGUAAACGAUGCUCGCUAGGUGUCAGGCAUGGCGCGACCGUGUCUGGUGCCGCAGGGAAGCCGUGAAGCGAGCCACCUGGGAAGUACGGCCGCAAGGCUGAAACUUAA
rnacentral:rRNA from 1 species